GAUUUGUGGUGAUGAAUUAUGAACACACUUCGCAUGUCAGACUUUGGAGAUGUUUCUGGCAUCAAUGAGAAGAUCAUUCAUAUAACUGAGCAAUGC
rfam:Zea mays cultivar B73 chromosome 2, whole genome shotgun sequence.